rnacentral:lncRNA from 1 species
GGUAGAAUAUUAUAUAAUAUUAUUUACGUAACCCGCGCGAUGCGGCGGGCAAAAUACAAAGCAAAUUAAAGAUGUUCAGCGAAAACUGUGAAAAAAAAUAUUUAGAUAGUAAUAUACUCAUUCACUAUUAUUUCAUAAUAUAAAAUAGACUUCUAGAAAGAUUAAAGAUUGUAAAAAUUAAACUAUUAGGCAAAAAACUUAAAAUAUAGCAGAAGAAUCAUCAACAAAUGUAACUCAAAAUUUAUAAUAAAAUAUUUACGAAAAAGGAAAAUUCUAUAUCUAUCUUCUAUCUAUACAAUACAUUAUUUGACAAUUCUAAAAAGGCCACAUGGCGCCCUCUUAUUACGCCUCUCUUUUUCUCUCUCUCCUAUGUUUCUCUCUCUCUUUCUCUCUCUCCUAUGUUUCUCUCUCUCUUUCCCUUCCCGAAGCAUCUCUCUCCCUCUCUCUCUAUCUCAUACAAAAUCUUACAAAAUCUUCUCCUCUCUCCUACUACUCUCUCUCCCCCGAUCUCUCUCUUUCUCACAAAAUUCAUAAAAUCUUAUAAAAUCUUCUCCUAUCCUUCCUCUUAUUCUCUCUCCCCAUUACCCUCCCCCACUCUCUCUCUCUCUUACAAAAUUCUAUAAAAUCUUACAAAAUCUUCUCCUCUCCCUCCUACUACUUUCUCUCUCUUAUCUCUCUCUCUAGAUCUCUCAAUCAUAUCAUAUCCUAUAAAAUUUUAAAAAUCAUCCCUUCUUCCUUCUCCUACUUUCUCUCUCUUCUCUUCUUCCUCCUACUUUCUCUCUCUCUUACUGGAUCAAUCAUAUUAUAUAAAAUCUUAUACAAUCUUCUCAAAAUGCUUCUAAUAUUUUCUUCCUCUUAUUCUCUCUCUCUCUUACCCUCCCCCACUCUCUCUCUCUUACAAAAUCCUAUAAAAUCUUACAAAAUCUUCUCCUCUCCCUCCUACUACUCUCUCUUUCUUAUCUCUCUUUCUGGAUCUCUCAAUCAUAUCAUAUCCUAUAAAAUUUUAAAAAUCCUCUCUUCUUUCUUCUCCUACUUUCUCUCUCUUCUCUUCUUCCUCCUACUUUCUCUCUCUCUUACUGGAUCAAUCAUAUUAUUAAAAUCUUAUACAAUCUUCUCAAAAUGCUUUUAAUAUUUUCUUCCUCUUAUUCUCUCUCUCCCUUACCCUCCCCCACUCUCUCUCUCUUACAAAAUCUUAUAAAAUCUUACAAAAUCUUCUCCUCUCCCUCCCACUACUCUCCCUCUCUUAUCUCUCUUUCUGGAUCUCUCAAUCAUAUCAUAUUCUAUAAAAUUUUAAAAAUCUUCUCUUCUUCCUUCUCCUACUUUCUUUCUCUUCUCUUCUUCCUCUUACUUUCUCUCUCUCUUACUGGAUCAAUCAUAUUAUAUAAAAUCUUAUACAAUCUUCUCAAAAUGCUUCUAAUAGUUUCUCUACUUUGAUAGAACAAAUACAAAAAGAUCUCGCAUGCGAAGCUGCAGAAUUGCAUGCGGAGGAGCGACGGGGAGGAGCUUUCGGCCGAGGCAACAGCAGUGGUAACAGUUGGAUUUU